rnacentral:misc_RNA from 1 species
CAGAAUAUUCAACAGAGCUAGCACUUAGUUUUCAAGAGGCUACAGGAUGCUCUUUCAUUUGGGAUAAUAUAUGCAACGUACAAAGGAAUCUUCAUUUUAGUAAUCUUAGCAACGAGGCAUUUCAUAGUGUGAAUAGUGAGCUAAGGGAGCUUCCUACUGUCGAGCUGUCUACACUUCCGCUAAUACUUAAGACUGUGGUUGAGAGUGGGAUUGCAGAUCAAAUGAGGUUGACAGAACUCUUAUUGAAUGAUAAAGAAUUUUUCAGAAAGCUG